rnacentral:rRNA from 1 species
UACGUAGGGUGCAAGCGUUGUCCGGAUUUAUUGGGCGUAAAGAGCGUGUAGGCGGCCUGAAAGGUCAGCUGUGAAAACUCGAGGCUCAACCUCGAGACGUCGGUUGAAACCAUCUGGCUAGAGUCCGGAAGAGGAGUGUGGAAUUCCCGGUGUAGCGGUGAAAUGCGCAGAUAUCGGGAAGAACACCCGUGGCGAAGGCGGCACUCUGGGACGGUACUGACGCUGAGACGCGAAAGCGUGGGAGC